rnacentral:rRNA from 1 species
UUAAAAAGCUCGUAGUUGGAUCUCGGCGGUCUGAGGGCGGUUCGCUUGAUUGAGUGCUACUGCUCUAUAGGCCGUGGUUUUGCCAGAGGUCUCGGGGUGCUCUUAACCGAGUGUCCUGCGAUGCUGGCAGGUUUACUUUGAAAAAAUUAGAGUGCUCAAAGCAGGCUUUUACGCCUGAAUAUUCGUGCAUGGAAUAAUAGAAUAGGAAGUCGUUUCUAUUUUGUUGGUUUUCGGAAAUCGACUUAAUGAUUAAUAGGGACAGUCGGGGGCAUUUGUAUUCAAACGACAGAGGUGAAAUUCUUGGACCGUUUGAAGACAAACUACUGCGAAAGCAUUUGCCAAGAAUGUUUUCAUUAAUCAAGAACGAAAGUUAGAGGUUCGAAGGCGAUUAGAUACCGCCCUAGUUCUAACCAUAAACGAUGCCAGCUAGCGAUCUGCCGACGUUUUCUUUGUAGACUCGGCAGGAAGCUUCCGGGAAACCAAAGCAUUUGGGUUCCAGGGGAAGUAUGGUUGCAAAGCUGAAACUUAAAGGAUUGACGGAAGGGCACCACCAGGAGUGGAGCCUGUGGCUUAAUUUGACUCAACACGGGAAAUCUCACCAAGCCCGGACACUGGAAGGAUUGACAGAUUGAUAGCUCUUUCUUGAUUCGGUGGGUGGUGGUGCAUG